rnacentral:rRNA from 1 species
GGUUGCGACCAUGUCAUGUUCACAGCACGCCAUCGCGUCCGAUCUGGCAAGUUUGGUAACCUCGGGCGUGGUUAGUAUUUGGAUCGGAGACGCCUCGGGAUUUCCAGGUGUCCGAAGAU